rnacentral:misc_RNA from 1 species
UAACUUCUUUGAACAUAUAACAAUAGGAAGCUUUUGGAAAUUAGAUUUUGCCCUUCUCUUGGCCCCAGAAUUUAAAGGAGGAGAUGGGACAUCCAAGAGAACCAUGCCACCAUAUUCUUGUAUUAGUCUGACAAUUUCUCUUUCCUUUCGACUAGAAAAUCCUGUAAGCAAGAACUCUAGACCAUGAAAUAUCAAUAUUUUCACAUCAUUUAUGUGACU